UACGUAGGGUCCGAGCGUUGUCCGGAAUUAUUGGGCGUAAAGAGCUCGUAGGCGGUCUGUCGCGUCUGCUGUGAAAACUCAGGCUUAACCCUGAGCUUGCAGUGGGUACGGGCAGACUAGAGUGCGGUAGGGAGACUGGAAUUCCUGGUGUAGCGGUGAAAUGCGCAGAUAUCAGGAGGAACACCCGGUGGGCGAAGGCGGCA
rnacentral:rRNA from 1 species